rnacentral:rRNA from 1 species
GACGAACGCUGGCGGCGUGCUUAACACAUGCAAGUCGAACGGUAAGGCUCCAGCUUGCUGGGGUACACGAGUGGCGAACGGGUGAGUAACACGUGGGUGACCUGCCCUGCACUUCGGGAUAAGCCUGGGAAACUGGUUCUAAUACCGAAUAGGACCGCACCGUGAGGGUGUGGCGGAAAGUUUUUUCGGUGUGGGAUGGGCGCGCGGCCUAUCAGCUUGUUGGGGGGGUAAUGGCCUACCAAGGCGGGGACGGGUCGCCGGCCUGAGAGGGUGGACGGCCACAUUGGGACUGAGACACGGCCCAGACUCCUACGGGAGGCAGCAGUGGGGAAUAUUGCACAAUGGGCGGAAGCCUGAUGCAGCGACGCCGCGUGGGGGAUGACGGCCUUCGGGUUGUAAACUCCUUUCACCAUCGACGAAGGGUUUCUGACGGUAGAUGGAGAAGAAGCACCGGCUAACUACGUGCCAGCAGCCGCAGUAA